rnacentral:rRNA from 1 species
AGAGUUUGAUCCUGGCUCAGGAUGAACGCUAGCGACAGGCUUAACACAUGCAAGUCGAGGGGCAGCGGUGGUGAAGGCUUGCCUUUACCAGCCGGCGACCGGCGCACGGGUGAGUAACACGUAUGCAACCUGCCUGCCACAGCCGGAUAAUCGGGAGAAAUUCCGUCUAAUACGGCAUAAUGCACCUAUGGGACAUCCUGUUGGUGCCAAAGGUUGAUUCCGGUGGCGGAUGGGCAUGCGUCGCAUUAGUUAGUUGGCGGUGUAACGGACCACCAAGACGACGAUGCGUAGGGGUUCUGAGAGGAAGGUCCCCCACACUGGUACUGAGACACGGACCAGACUCCUACGGGAGGCAGCAGUGAGGAAUAUUGGUCAAUGGGCGGGAGCCUGAACCAGCCAAGUCGCGUGAGGGAUGACGGCCCUAUGGGUUGUAAACCUCUUUUGCCGGGGAGCAAAGUGCCGCACGUGUGCGGUUUGGAGAGUACCCGGAGAAAAAGCAUCGGCUAACUCCGUGCCAGCAGCCGCGGUAAUACGGAGGAUGCGAGCGUUAUCCGGAUUUAUUGGGUUUAAAGGGUGCGUAGGCGGACGCUUAAGUCAGCGGUAAAAUUGCGGGGCUCAACCUCGUCGAGCCGUUGAAACUGGGUGCCUUGAGUGGGCGAGAAGUACGCGGAAUGUGUUGUGUAGCGGUGAAAUGCAUAGAUAUCACGCAGAACUCCGAUUGCGAAGGCAGCGUACCGGCGCCCAACUGACGCUGAAGCACGAAGGCGUGGGUAUCGAACAGGAUUAGAUACCCUGGUAGUCCACGCAGUAAACGAUGAAUGCUAGUUGUCCGGGGCGAUUGAGUUCUGGGUGACACAGCGAAAGCGUUAAGCAUUCCACCUGGGGAGUACGCCGGCAACGGUGUAACUCAAAGGAAUUGACGGGGGCCCGCACAAGCGGAGGAACAUGUGGUUUAAUUCGAUGAUACGCGAGGAACCUUACCCGGGCUCAAACGCAGGAGGGAUGUUUUUGAAAGGAGGCAGCCAGCAAUGGUCUCCUGCGAGGUGCUGCAUGGUUGUCGUCAGCUCGUGCCGUGAGGUGUCGGCUUAAGUGCCAUAACGAGCGCAACCCCUACCUACAGUUGCCAUCGCGUGAUGGCGGGCACUCUGUGGGGACUGCCUGCGCAAGCAGUGAGGAAGGCGGGGAUGACGUCAAAUCAGCACGGCCCUUACGUCCGGGGCGACACACGUGUUACAAUGGCAGGUACAGCGGGAAGCCACCCGGCGACGGGGCGCGGAACCCGAAAACCUGUCUCAGUUCGGAUUGGAGUCUGCAACCCGACUCCAUGAAGCUGGAUUCGCUAGUAAUCGCGCAUCAGCCACGGCGCGGUGAAUACGUUCCCGGGCCUUGCACACACCGCCCGUCAAG